rnacentral:rRNA from 1 species
GAUGAACGCUGGCGGCGUGCCUAAUACAUGCAAGUCGAGCGAACAGACGAGAAGCUUGCUUUUCUGAUGUUAGCGGCGGACGGGUGAGUAACACGUGGAUAACCUACCUAUAAGACUGGGAUAACUUCGGGAAACCGGAGCUAAUACCGGGUAAUAUUUUGAACCGCAUGGUUCAAAAGUGAAAGACGGUCUUGCUUUCACUUAUAGAUGGAUCCGCGCUGCAUUAGCUAGUUGGUAAGGUAACGGCUUACCAAGGCAACGAUGCAUAGCCGACCUGAGAGGGUGAUCGGCCACACUGGAACUGAGACACGGUCCAGACUCCUACGGGAGGCAGCAGUAGGGAAUCUUCCGCAAUGGGCGGAAGCCGGACGGAGCAGCGCCGCGUGAGUGAUGAAGGUCUUCGGAUCGUAAAACUCUGUUAUUAGGGAAGAACAUAUGUGUAAGUAACUGUGCACAUCUUGACGGUUCCUAAUCAGAAAGCCACGGCUAACUACGUG